rnacentral:rRNA from 1 species
UACAGAGGUCCCAAGCGUUGUUCGGAUUCACUGGGCGUAAAGGGUGCGUAGGUGGCUUUGCAAGUCUGAUGUGAAAUCUCCGGGCCCAACCCGGAAAUGGCAUCGGAAACUGUGAGGCUUGAGGCUUGGAGGGGGAACUGGAAUUCUCGGUGUAGCAGUGAAAUGCGUAGAGAUCGAGAGGAACACCAGUGGCGAAGGCGAGUUCCUGGACAAGUCCUGACACUGAGGCACGAAAGCUAGGGGAGCAAACAGG